rnacentral:rRNA from 1 species
AGCACAAGGGAGUUUACUUCUGAGGUGGCGAGCGGCGGACGGGUGAGUAAUGCCUAGGGAUCUGCCCAGUCGAGGGGGAUAACAGUUGGAAACGACUGCUAAUACCGCAUACGCCCUACGGGGGAAAGGAGGGGACCUUCGGGCCUUCCGCGAUUGGAUGAACCUAGGUGGGAUUAGCUAGUUGGUGAGGUAAUGGCUCACCAAGGCGACGAUCCCUAGCUGUUCUGAGAGGAUGAUCAGCCACACUGGGACUGAGACACGGCCCAGACCCCUACGGGAGGCAGCAGUGGGGAAUAUUGCACAAUGGGGGAAACCCUGAUGCAGCCAUGCCGCGUGUGUGAAGAAGGCCUUCGGGUUGUAAAGCACUUUCAGUAGGGAGGAAAGGGUGUAGCUUAAUACGCUAUAUCUGUGACGUUACCUACAGAAGAAGGACCGGCUAACUCCGUGCCAGCAGCCGCGGUAAUACGGAGGGUCCGAGCGUUAAUCGGAAUUACUGGGCGUAAAGCGUGCGCAGGCGGUUUGUUAAGCGAGAUGUGAAAGCCCUGGGCUCAACCUAGGAAUAGCAUUUCGAACUGGCGAACUAGAGUCUUGUAGAGGGGGGUAGA